ACAUCAGCAAACCAGAAGCUACUUAGAGCAAAACUAAGCAUAACAACUAGAAUAUUAAACUUAAGGCUGAAUUUGAAGCUACUCAUUCCCAAGGAUUCUGAUCAAAGCAUGAAAAUUUAUUAGCUAUGCUAGGAAAACUACCACUAGAACUAGAAUAAUAACAAUUGCACAUAAAUGGGAUUGAAUCCCUCAACAAAUUAGACCCAGAACUGUUGUACAAAUUCUGGGUUUCAACUGUCAACUAUACAAAUCCAAUGGAACAACAACACAGCUAAAAGAUCAUAAUUUUACAACAAAAAAUAAAGAUUGAACCUUCAAAACAGAUUAACUUGAUAAUGAGCAACAAAUCAUCAUGAUUAGCUACUCAACUUGUUGGUAGAAGAGCCAAAGGCCUUGUCAAUGGAGUCAACAAUCUUUUGCUGGGAUUGCAGAAUCAUAUCAAUCCUCCUCUUCUCCAUCUCCAAUCUACGUCUCUCUGUUUCCUUCAUGAACUCCAUCCUCGUGUUCUCAACCCCAAUGAACCUUUUCGCAAAAGCCCUAAUUUCGUCUGCUAAUUCCACAGCCAUCUCUCCCCCCAUCUGGGGCGGCUCCACCACAUAGCCAUUGUAGCCACCGCCACCGUCCACCGCGUCUCUCGAUCUCUUGGCUGCGGCUGUGUCCUGCCAAAACGAGGCUUGUCCUCCAGAAAACCUAUUCACAAUCGUGGGCCUCCGUAGUAUGUAAUCAAUACUCCGCACCUUACUGGAAUUCUCCUCAUCAUCAUCCUCACCGUCAACAUCAACGCCAUGACGAUCAUGACGCUGCUCUUCUUCUUCUUCUUCUUCUUCUGGCUGACAUGGCAUCACAGCCAUGGGUCUGGAGGAGAUGGGCAUGGGACCGCGCUCCAAGCUCUCCAUGAGCUCGAAGAAGGGCCAACGCGACCUCGACCCGGGCCGGAGGCGCUUCUUCAGUGUACGGUGCCGUUGCCGGAGCUUCUCCAUCUUAUGACGGCACUGAGUGGCGGUCUUGGACUGCUCGGCGUGCUCGUAGCCGCAUCGAGCUGCCACCGUCACCGCCACCUCCUCCCAUUGACUCGACUUGAGCGGACCUCUUCUCAGCUUGUACCACUUUUCCUGGUAGGCCCGGAUCAUCUGCACCGUCUCUUCGUGCGUCCAUGGCAGAGGCUGGGCCUUCUUGGUGGAGACUGGCGAGGCAGGGACCGAGGCCGAGGCUGAGGCCGUGGGCGAGGGCGGGGGUGGUGUGGACAUUGUUCUGAUGUCUAGGGUUAGGGAUUUGGAAUUUUAGGGUUAGGGUUUGAUUGGAAUUUGGGGUUUUUGUGUUGAGUUUUGUGGAGGUGGUGGUGGCGGUGACGGUGGUGGUUAUGGUUGAGAGAGGGUUGAUUUUGGGUGGGGGCCUUUUAAGUUUAGGUCAAUGGAUCCGAACCCGUAUUUGACAUUUUAAAAAGACUAUUUGGGCUUUAUUUGUACGGAAAGACCCGCAAUUCGAACCCGAAGUUAAACAAGUGCAACGUCAAAUGAUUGAAUUUUUUUUUUUCCAAGGUCAAAUGAUUGAAUUGGAUUGGAUAUAUAAUAUGAUUCAAGUUC